rnacentral:lncRNA from 1 species
UUUACUAAAUCCCCCAAUCCUAAUUCAUUUCUCUCUACCCGCUGCCUUUGAAUACCCUUCCUCUCCCACUCUCUCUUCAAACCCUAGACGCCGCCACCCAAGAUAACCCUAGUCCAUUCGAUUCUUGCUGGUUUUCAUGGCUUCUCAGGUCGUGAAAACCUCAUAUCACUCUUGUGUGCUUGGUACUCAAAGGUAUCCACAUAGACCUCCGCCGACAUGAGGUCUCCAGCCAUCUCUGGCCUGGCUCUGGCAUAUCUUAGCCUCCUGAGCCCGUUUCCAGUCUUAUCAGACUUAGAUCAGACAUUUUCAAAGCCUUUCUCGUUUUAGGGUUCGCCUGAAACCCUAGUUGUUCGGGGUUCUUUCUCUGAUUCUCUUCAUAUUUGUGAGUAUUCAAGGAUUACUUUGAGCUUUUAAAAGGUUUCCCCAAAUUUUCUUUAUUAAAUUCUUUAUCCAAAGUCACUCUUUUCUGGUUUAGGGUUUUCCGAAAAAAUGUUUUAGUAUUUUCCGAAUUUUCUUCAUGCUUUCCUAUCUGUGUUUUAUAUUCUUAUGUGUUUUUGCAUACAUGUUCUUCUACCACGUUUUCUGUAUCUUUUGUUCUUUUUUCCCCUAUGUUUUCACAUGUUAUGUUUCUAUGCUAUGUCUCACAUGCUAUGUUCUGCUACUUGCUUUCCUCCAUGGCUUCAUAUGCUUCGCCUACUGAUUUUUCCUACCGUGUUCAUUAGGUGUCCUUACUGUGCCCGCUUAUGCAUACUUUGGCUCUACUGUUUCUUUUACUCCCAUUGUGUUUUGAACUCUGUUUGCAUUAAGCCUCC